rnacentral:rRNA from 1 species
CAGAGGAGCCAAGCGUUGUCCGGAGUGACUGGGCGUAAAGCGCACGCAGGUGGUCGUGCACGUGGGGUGUGAAAGCGCUGGGCUUAACCCAGCGAGGCCACCUCAUACGGCGCGGCUGGAGCCCUGCAGAGGUCCAUGGAAUUGCCGGUGUAGUGGUGAAAUGCGUAGAGAUCGGCAGGAACACCCAGGGGGAAACCAGUGGACUGGGCAGGCGCUGACACUGAGGUGCGAAAGCGUGGGGAGCGGACCGGAUUAGAUACCCGGGUAGUCCACGCCGUAAACGAUGAAUACUCGGCAUUUGGUGGGCGAUUUUCGUCCACCGGGUGCCCCAGCUAACGCGGUAAGUAUUCCGCCUGGGAACUACGAGCGCAAGCUUA